GCUCCUACCGAUUGAGUGAUCCGGUGAAUAAUUCGGACUGACGCAGUGCUCAGCUUCUGGAUGUUGUGUUGGAAAGUUUCAUGAACCUUAUCACUUAGAGGAAGGAGAAGUCGUAACAAGGUUUCCGUAGGUGAACCUGCAGAAGGAUCAAGAGAGGAAAAGCGUGGUGUAUGGAAAGAGUGUAAAUCUCGGUUGGCGCCGGAACAUUUAAAAAAAAACAUAUAAACGACAUAAAUGACACGAACCAUAGACAUAUGUAUACACAUGAUGAUAGUAU
rnacentral:misc_RNA from 1 species